rnacentral:tRNA from 1 species
GGGGUUAUGGUGUAGCCUGGUCUAGCAUCGGAGCUUCGGGGGCUUCAGACCUGAGUUCAAAUCUCAGUAACCCCA